ensembl:snoRNA SNORD16 Small nucleolar RNA SNORD16
UGCUGUGAUGAUAUAAGCUUGUUCUUAUCCAGUGUUCAGUGAUAGCUGCCUGCUAUCAGCAUGCUGGUGCUUUUGAACUGAAGACACUUGACCCUGAGCA